rnacentral:rRNA from 1 species
AUUGAACGCUGGCGGAAUGCUUUACACAUGCAAGUCGAGCGGCAGCACGGGGGCAACCCUGGUGGCGAGCGGCGAACGGGUGAGUAAUGCAUCGGAACAUGCCCAGUCGUGGGGGAUAACACUUCGAAAGAAGUGCUAAUACCGCAUACGUCCUGAGGGAGAAAGCGGGGGAUCGCAAGACCUCGCGCGAUUGGAGUGGCCGAUGUCAGAUUAGCUAGUUGGUGGGGUAAAGGCCUACCAAGGCAACGAUCUGUAGCUGGUCUGAGAGGAUGAUCAGCCACACUGGGACUGAGACACGGCCCAGACUCCUACGGGAGGCAGCAGUGGGGAAUUUUGGACAAUGGGGGCAACCCUGAUCCAGCCAUUCCGCGUGAGUGAAGAAGGCCUUCGGGUUGUAAAGCUCUUUCGGCAGGAACGAAACGGUGAGCUCUAACAUAGCUCGCUAAUGACGGUACCUGAAGAAGAAGCACCGGCUAACUACGUG